AGUGGAAUAGCUGGAUCAUAUGGUAGUUCCAGUCCUGUUUUGUUUUUUGAGGAAUCUCCAUAUUGUUUCCCAGAAUGGUUGCAUUAAUUUGUAAUCCCAUCAACAAU
rnacentral:pre_miRNA from 1 species